rnacentral:rRNA from 1 species
UACGUAGGUGGCAAGCGUUGUCCGGAUUUACUGGGUGUAAAGGGCGUGUAGGCGGAGCUGCAAGUCAGAUGUGAAAUCCCGGGGCUCAACCCCGGAACUGCAUUUGAAACUGUAGCCCUUGAGUAUCGGAGAGGCAGGCGGAAUUCCUAGUGUAGCGGUGAAAUGCGUAGAUAUUAGGAGGAACACCAGUGGCGAAGGCGACUUUCUGGACGAUAACUGACGUUGAGGCACGAAAGUGUGGGGAGCAAACAGG